rnacentral:rRNA from 1 species
UACGAAGGGGGCUAGCGUUGUUCGGAAUCACUGGGCGUAAAGUGCUCGUAGGCGGAUCUUUAAGUCAGAGGUGAAAUCCCAAGGCUCAACCUUGGAACUGCCUUUGAUACUGGGGAUCUCGAGUCCGGGAGAGGUGAGUGGAACUGCGAGUGUAGAGGUGAAAUUCGUAGAUAUUCGCAAGAACACCAGUGGCGAAGGCGGCUCACUGGCCCGGUACUGACGCUGAGGAGCGAAAGCGUGGGGAGCAAACAGG